AUCAGAUCGCCGUCCAUUAGCACAGCCAUCAGCUCCGAUCUUCAUCCAUUAGCACCGCCGUCCGACGCCGCCCAUCAGUCUCCAUCGUCCCCGCCGUCCACAGCUCUCCAUCUUCCCGUCCAUCGCCAUCCCGUCGUCCAUCGCUGCUCGCCGAUCUACGUCCCCGCCGCUGCCGAUCGACAUCCCCUCCGCUGCCGCCCAAGGUCGCCGCCGCUGCCGCCCGAGGUCGCCGCCGCGACGCCUCAGGUCUACAAGCUCACCACCGCAGUACGCACACCGACGCCGCCGCAGUACGCACGCCAAAAAGAACUUAGAAUGCUAUGCUAGGAUCUUUCAUAUAUGGAGUACCACAAAACUACUUCUAUGGAGGUGGAAAGUUAGAACUGUGAAAAAGCAAAACAGCGAGAAACAUUCUCAACGGUGUGAUAUCGAGCUGAAACUAGCUAUCAGGUUGCACGAAAAAUGAGGGAUGAGGAGGGAUUUUACUAUCCACACAAUCUUGAUUUUUGUGGCCAUGCGUACCCCAUGCAUGCAUCCAUAUUUGAAUCAUCUUGGCUCUGAUUUGUGCCGUGGAAUCCUGGAAUUUGCAGAAGCUCGCCCCCUUGGCAAGUCAGGGUUGCAAUGGUUAAAGAUACAUCUAGCAAAUGUGUAUGGUGGUGGUGUUGACAAGUUAUCAUAUGAAGGUCGAGUAGCAUUUACUGAAAACCAUGUGGAGGACAUUUUUGAUUCUGCAGAUCGACCUCUUGAAGGAAAACAGUGGUGGUUGGGUGCAGAUCGACCUCUAAUGGAGCGCAAUUAAGAAAACAUAUUGAUUCAACUUUAGGCAGUGGAAACCAACUGCAUAUGUGUGUGUGUGUCUGUAUGAAACUUUGUUUGCAAUUUUGCUGGAAGAUGGAGAAUCAGGAGGACAGUGGAAAUAUAUUCUUAUAAGUCAUGAUUAACUAUAAGGAGGUGGUGGACUUCUGCAAGUCAUAUUUGGUGGUUAACAGGGAAGCUUUUUCUGAUCCAAGACUUCAUCUUGUCAUUAAUGAUGCCAGGGCUGAGCUUGAAAGCAGAGAAGAGGGUUAUGAUGUGAUCAUAGGAGACUUAGCAGACCCCAUUGAAGGAGGGCCUUGCUACCAGCUUUACACCCAAUCCUUUUAUCAAACCACUGUCAGACCAAAGCUCAAUCAGCGUGGCAUCUUUGUCACUCAGGCCGGACCAGCUGGGAUCUUUAGCCACACUGAGGUUUUCUCUUGCAUCUACAACACUCUCAAACAAGUUUUCAAAUAUGUUGUGCCUUAUUCUGCUCACAUACCUUCCUAUGCUGACACAUGGGGAUGGGUCAUGGCGUCAGACACCCCAUUUGAAGUGAGUGUGGAUGAGUUAGAUCGGAGAAUGAAGCAGAGAGUGAAAGGGGAGAACAAAUAUUACAUCUUAAGUAAUUUAUUACAUCUUGAGUAAUUUAUUUUAAUUGUUAACAUUUAAAAUUUGUAGUUUAUUUGUAAUAAAAUGUUAUUAGAAUUGAAAAUUUAGAUUGGUGUAUUUUAGUUGAUAGAAUUGGUGUGUAGUAUACAUCUUAAAUUGAUAAAUGUUGAAAUAUAUUAUUUGGUAGUUA